UAGUCCACGCUGUAACCGAUGAGUACUAGCUGUUGGAGUCGGUGUAAAGGCUCUAGUGGCGUAGCUAACGCGUUAAGUACUCCGCCUGGGGACUACGGCCGCAAGGCUAAAACUCAAAGGGAUUGACGGGGACCCGCACAAGCGGUGGAGCAUGUGGUUUAAUUCGAUGCAACGCGAAGAACCUUACCCGGUCUUGACAUCCACAGAACUUUUCAGAGAUGAAUUGGUGCCUUCGGGAACUGUGUGACAGGUGCUGCACGGCUGUCGUCAGCUCGUGUUGUGAAAUGUUGGGUUAAGUCCCGCAACGAGCGCAACCCCUAUUGAUAGUUACCAUCAUUAAGUUGGGUACUCUAUUGAGACUGCCGCUGACAAGGCGGAGGAAGGUGGGGACGACGUCAAGUCAUCAUGGGCCCUUACGGGGUAGGGGCUACACACGUGCUACAAUGGGGCGGUACAGAGGGGUUGCGAAGCCGCGAGGGUGGGAGCUAAUCU
rnacentral:rRNA from 1 species